rnacentral:rRNA from 1 species
UGAAGGAGGAGCUUGCUUUCCGGAUGAGUUGCGAACGGGUGAGUAACGCGUAGGUAACCUGCCUGGUAGCGGGGGAUAACUAUUGGAAACGAUAGCUAAUACCGCAUAAUAGCAGUUAUUGCAUGAUAACUGUUUGAAAGGUGCAAUUGCACCACUACCAGAUGGACCUGCGUUGUAUUAGCUAGUUGGUGGGGUAACGGCUCACCAAGGCGACGAUACAUAGCCGACCUGAGAGGGUGAUCGGCCACACUGGGACUGAGACACGGCCCAGACUCCUACGGGAGGCAGCAGUAGGGAAUUUCGGCAAUGGACGAAAGUCUGACCGAGCAACGCCGCGUGAGUGAAGAAGGUUUUCGGAUCGUAAAGCUCUGUGUAAGAGAAGAACGGGUGUGAGAGUGGAAAGUUCACAAC